rnacentral:rRNA from 1 species
GACGAACGCUGGCGGCGUGCUUAACACAUGCAAGUCGAACGGAAAGGCCCUGCUUUUGUGGGGUGCUCGAGUGGCGAACGGGUGAGUAACACGUGAGUAACCUGCCCUUGACUUUGGGAUAACUUCAGGAAACUGGGGCUAAUACCGGAUAGGAGCUCCUGCUGCAUGGUGGGGGUUGGAAAGGUUCGGCGGUUGGGGAUGGACUCGCGGCUUAUCAGCUUGUUGGUGGGGUAGUGGCUUACCAAGGCUUUGACGGGUAGCCGGCCUGAGAGGGUGACCGGCCACAUUGGGACUGAGAUACGGCCCAGACUCCUACGGGAGACAGCAGUGGGGAAUAUUGCACAAUGGGCGGAAGCCUGAUGCAGCAACGCCGCGUGCGGGAUGACGGCCUUCGGGUUGUAAACCGCUUUCGCCUGUGACGAAGCGUGAGUGACGGUAAUGGGUAAAGAAGCACCGGCUAACUACGUG